rnacentral:rRNA from 1 species
UUUUGGACAAUGGGCGCAAGCCUGAUCCAGCCAUGCCGCGUGAGUGAAGAAGGCCUUCGGGUUGUAAAGCUCUUUCAGCUGGAAAGAAAUCGUACUUAUUAAUACUAGGUGCGGAUGACGGUACCAGCAGAAGAUGCACCGGCUAACUACGUGCCAGCAGCCGCGGUAAUACGUAGGGUGCGAGCGUUAAUCGGAAUUACUGGGCGUAAAGCGUGCGCAGGCGGCUUUUUAAGCCAGAUGUGAAAUCCCCGGGCUUAACCUGGGAACUGCAUUUGGAACUGGAAGGCUAGAGUGUAGCAGAGGGGGGUAGAAUUCCACGUGUAGCAGUGAAAUGCGUAGAGAUGUGGAGGAAUACCGAUGGCGAAGGCAGCCCCCUGGGCUAACACUGACGCUCAUGCACGAAAGCGUGGGGAGCAAACAGGA